ACAAUCCACCAAUCAGCUAUUCCACCUAAUCACUGAAGCCACUCCUGCCAGAGUUACCCGGGCUCCAGUUCUACCACCGUGUGAUGACACGUCUCAGGAACAGGCAAAGUCAAAAACUAAGAGCGCCGAUCUUCGAAAUGAUCACAACAUUAUACACAGAGUUCAGUUCUAAG